rnacentral:tRNA from 1 species
GCUUAAAUAGCUUAUAUUCAAGAGCAUGGCACUGAAGAUGCCAAGGAGGCGGCUAUCGCCUUUGAGCA